ACCCCCAUCAAGCCUGGCUUGGUAUUGGGCGACGGGACCUCCCCGCGCCCCGAUUUCGCCGGCUGGACGACUCCGAUCUCUCAAGCGUUGUACAAUCUCGCUAGCAAGACGGGUGGCCACGCCGUUAAAUCUCAAUCAAUA
rnacentral:misc_RNA from 1 species